rnacentral:rRNA from 1 species
UAGCAUUCAAUAAGCGGAGGAAAAGAAACCAACCGGGAUUGCCUCAGUAACGGCGAGUGAAGCGGCAGCAGCUCAAAUUUGAAAUCUGGCCCGUCCCGGGUCCGAGUUGUAAUUUGCAGAAGAUGCUUUGGGCGGGGCGCCGGUCGAAGUCCCCUGGAACGGGGCGUCAGAGAGGGUGAGAAUCCCGUUCGUGACCGGCCGCCCGUGCCCGGGUAAAGCUCUUUCGACGAGUCGAGUUGUUUGGGAAUGCAGCUCUAAGUGGGUGGUAAAUUUCAUCUAAAGCUAAAUACGGGCCAGAGACCGAUAGCGCACAAGUAGAGUGAUCGAAAGAUGAAAAGCACUUUGGAAAGAGAGUUAAACAGUACGUGAAAUUGUUGAAAGGGAAGCGCUGACCGCCAGACCCGCGCGGGGCGGCACCCGGGGUUCGUCCCCGGGGCGCGCCUCCCCGCGCUGGCCAGCAUCGGUUCGGGCGGCCGGAGAAAGGCCGCGGGAACGUGGCUCCCCUCGGGGAGUGUUAUAGCCCGCGGCGCCAUGCGGCCCGCCCGGACCGAGGACCGCGCUUCGGCUAGGAUGCUGGCGUAAUGGCGGCCAGCGACCCGUCUUGAAACACGGACCAAGGAGUCUAACAUCCGUGCGAGUGUUUGGGUGUCAAACCCCGGCGCGCAAUGAAAGUGAACGCAGGUGAGAGCCCCUUCGGGGCGCAUCAUCGACCGAUCCUGACGUCCGCCGACGGAUUUGAGUAGGAGCACGGCUGUUGGGACCCGAAAGAUGGUGAACUAUGCGUGGAUAGGGUGAAGCCAGAGGAAACUCUGGUGGAGGCUCGCAGCGGUUCUGACGUGCAAAUCGAUCGUCGAAUCUGCGCAUAGGGGCGAAAGACUAAUCGAACCAUCUAUAGCUGGUCC